rnacentral:rRNA from 1 species
UACGUAGGGGGCAAGCGUUGUCCGGAUUUAUUGGGCGUAAAGAGCGUGUAGGCGGCUUUGCAGGUCCGCUGUGAAAACUCGAGGCUCAACCUCGAGCUGUCGGUGGAAACCGUAAAGCUAGAGUCCGGAAGAGGAGAGUGGAAUUCCCGGUGUAGCGGUGAAAUGCGUAGAUAUCAGGAGGAACACCUGUGGUGUAGACAGCUUACUGGACCAUUUCUGACGCUGAGACACGAAAGCGUGGGGAGCAAACGGG